CCUACGGGAGACAGCAGUGGGGAAUAUUGCACAAUGGGCGAAAGCCUGAUGCAGCAACGCCGCGUGAAGGAAGAAGGCUUUCGGGUUGUAAACUUCUUUUAAGGGGGAAGAGCAGAAGACGGUACCCCUUGAAUAAGCCACGGCUAACUACGUGCCAGCAGCCGCGGUAAUACGUAGGUGGCAAGCGUUGUCCGGAUUUACUGGGUGUAAAGGGCGUGCAGCCGGAGAGACAAGUCAGAUGUGAAAUCCACGGGCUCAACCCGUGAACUGCAUUUGAAACUGUUUCCCUUGAGUGUCGGAGAGGUAAGCGGAAUUCCUUGUGUAGCGGUGAAAUGCGUAGAUAUAAGGAAGAACACCAGUGGCGAAGGCGGAUUACUGGACGAUAACUGACGGUGAGGCGCGAAAGCGUGGGGAGCAAACAGGAUUAGAUACCCUUGUAGUC
rnacentral:rRNA from 1 species